rnacentral:rRNA from 1 species
GAUGAACGCUAGCGGCAGGCCUAACACAUGCANGUCGAGGGGGAACAGGGAUUGCUUGCAAUCCGCUGACGACCGGCGCACGGGUGCGUAACGCGUAUGCAACCUACCUUUUACAGGGGUAUAGUCAAGAGAAAUUUUGAAUAACACCCCAUACGAUCAUUUUUACACCUGUAAAGAUGAAGAAAACUCCGGUGGUAAAAGAUGGGCAUGCGUCCUAUUAGUUAGUUGGUGAGGUAACGGCUCACCAAGACCGCGAUAGGUAGGGGUCCUGAGAGGGAGAUCCCCCACACUGGUACUGAGACACGGACCAGACUCCUACGGGAGGCAGCAGUGAGGAAUAUUGGACAAUGGAGGCAACUCUGAUCCAGCCAUGCCGCGUGCAGGAAGACUGCCCUAUGGGUUGUAAACUGCUUUUAUACAGGAAGAAACCUUGGUACGUGUACCAAGCUGACGGUACUGUAAGAAUAAGGAUCGGCUAACUCCGUGCCAGCAGCCGCGGUAAUACGGAGGAUCCAAGCGUUAUCCGGAAUCAUUGGGUUUAAAGGGUCCGCAGGCGGUCUUUUAAGUCAGAGGUGAAAUCCUAUCGCUCAACGAUAGAACUGCCUUUGAUACUGAAAGACUUGAGUUAUUGUGAAGUGGUUAGAAUAUGUAGUGUAGCGGUGAAAUGCAUAGAUAUUACAUAGAAUACCGAUUGCGAAGGCAGAUCACUAACAAUACACUGACGCUGAG